rnacentral:rRNA from 1 species
UAGAUAUGACUUAGUGGCGGACGGGUGAGUAACGCGUGAGGAACCUGCCUUGGAGUGGGGAAUAACAGUUGGAAACAGUUGCUAAUACCGCAUAAUGCAGUUGAGUCGCAUGGCUCUGACUGCCAAAGAUUUAUCGCUCUGAGAUGGCCUCGCGUCUGAUUAGCUAGUUGGUGAGGUAACGGCCCACCAAGGCGACGAUCAGUAGCCGGACUGAGAGGUUGAACGGCCACAUUGGGACUGAGAUACGGCCCAGACUCC